rnacentral:rRNA from 1 species
UAGGGUCAAGUGAAUAAGUGCAUGUGGUGGAUGCCUUGGCGAUUACAGGCGACGAAAGACGUGUAAGCCUGCGAAAAGCUACGGGGAGCUGGCAAUAAAGCUUUGAUCCGUAGAUAUCUGAAUGGGGAAACCCGGCCCGCAAGGGUCACUCCUGACUGAAUACAUAGGUCAGGUAGAGCGAACCCGGUGAACUGAAACAUCUAAGUAGCCGGAGGAAAAGAAAUCAACCGAGAUUCCGAGAGUAGUGGCGAGCGAAAUCGGAGGAGCCUGCAACCUUUAGCUUCUGAAUUAGUGGAACAGUCUGGAAAGUCUGGCCAUAGUGGGUGAUAGCCCCGUACGCGAAAAUUCAGGAGUGGAAAUAGGGUUGGAACAAGUAGGGCGGGACACGAGAAAUCCUGUCUGAAUAUGGGGGGACCAUCCUCCAAGGCUAAAUACUCGUAAUCGACCGAUAGUGAACCAGUACCGUGAGGGAAAGGCGAAAAGAACCCCGGGAGGGGAGUGAAAUAGAUCCUGAAACCGCAUGCAUACAAACAGUGGGAGCGGACUUGUUCCGUGACUGCGUACCUUUUGUAUAAUGGGUCAGCGACUUACAUUCAGUAGCGAGCUUAACCGAAUAGGGGAGGCGCAGCGAAAGCGAGUCUGAUAAGGGCGAUAGUUGCUGGGUGUAGACCCGAAACCAAGUGAUCUAUCCAUGGCCAGGAUGAAGGUGAGGUAACACUCACUGGAGGUCCGAACCCACUAAUGUUGAAAAAUUAGGGGAUGAGCUGUGGAUAGGGGUGAAAGGCUAAACAAACUUGGAAAUAGCUGGUUCUCUCCGAAAACUAUUUAGGUAGUGCCUCAUGUAUCACUCUCGGGGGUAGAGCACUGUCAUGGCUAGGGGUCUAUUGCUGAUUACCAAACCAUUGCAAACUCCGAAUACCGAGAAGUGCGAGCAUGGGAGACAGACAUCGGGUGCUAACGUCCGGUGUCGAAAGGGAAACAACCCAGACCGCCGAUU